rnacentral:rRNA from 1 species
UACAGAGAGUGCAAACGUUGUUCGGAAUCACUGGGCUUAAAGCGCACGUAGGCGGCAUCGUAAGUGUCGGGUGAAAUCCCACGGCUCACCCGUGGAACUGCCCGGCAGACUGCGAUGCUAGAGUGUGGUAGGGGCAAGCGGAACUCCUGGUGGAGCGGUGAAAUGCGUAGAUAUCAGGAGGAACACCGGUGGCGAAGGCGGCUUUCUGGUCCACAACUGACGCUGAGGUGCGAAAGCUAGGGGAGCAAACGGG